AUGUGGCUCAGUGGUAGAGCACUUGCCUAGCAUGCAUGAGGCCCUGGGUUUUAUCCUCAGCAU
rnacentral:tRNA from 1 species